ACGCUGGCGGCACGCCUAACACAUGCAAGUCGAACGAAGUAGCAAUACUUAGUGGCAGACGGGUGAGUAACAUGUAGGUAUCUGCCCUUUGGCCUGGAAUAACACGAGGAAACUUGUGCUAAUACCGGAUAAGUCUUUACGGAGAAAGCUUUAUGCACCAUUGGAUGAGCCUGCACUUGAUUAGUUUGUUGGUGGGGUAAUGGCCUACCAAGACUGUGAUCAAUAGCUGAUUUGAGAGGAUGAUCAGCCACAUUGGGACUGGGACACGGCCCAAACUCCUACGGGAGGCAGCAGUGGGGAAUCUUGCACAAUGGAGGAAACUCUGAUGCAGCGAUGCCGCGUGAGUGAAGAAGGCCUUUGGGUUGUAAAGCUCUUUCGUCGGGGAAGAAAAUGACUGUACCCGAAUAAGAAGGUCCGGCUAACUUCGUGCCAGCAGCCGCGGUAAUACGAAGGGACCUAGCGUAGUUCGGAAUUACUGGGCUUAAAGAGUUCGUAGGUGGUUGAAAAAGUUGGUGGUGAAAUCCCAGAGCUUAACUCUGGAACUGCCAUCAAAACUUUUCAGCUAGAGUAUGAUAGAGGAAAGCAGAAUUUCUAGUGUAGAGGUGAAAUUCGUAGAUAUUAGAAAGAAUACCAAUUGCGAAGGCAGCUUUCUGGAUCAUUACUGACACUGAGGAACGAAAGCAUGGGUAGCGAAGAGGAUUAGAUACCCUCGUAGUCCAUGCCGUAAACGAUGUGUGUUAGACGUUGGAAAUUUAUUUUCAGUGUCGCAGCGAAAGCGAUAAACACACCGCCUGGGGAGUACGACCGCAAGGUUAAAACUCAAAUGAAUUGACGGGGACCCGCACAAGUAGUGGAGCAUGUGGUUUAAUUCGAAGAUACGCGCAGAACCUUACCAACACUUGACAUGUUCGUCGCGACUCUAAGAGAUUAGAGUUUUCGGUUCGGCCGGACGAAACACAGGUGCUGCAUGGCUGUCGUCAGCUCGUGUCGUGAGAUGUUGGGUUAAGUCCCGCAACGAGCGCAACCCUCACUUUUAGUUGCCAUCAUUAAGUUGGGCACUCUGAAAGAACUGCCAGUGAUAAGCUGGAGGAAGGUGGGGAUGACGUCAAGUCCUCAUGGCCCUUACGUGUUGGGCUACACACGUGCUACAAUGGUAUCUACAACAGGAAGCAAGACUGCGAAGUUAAGCAAAUCCCUAAAAGAUACCUCAGUUCGGAUUGCACUCUGCAACUCGAGUGCAUGAAGCUGGAAUUACUAGUAAUCGUGGAUCAGCGUGCCACGGUGAAUGCGUCCCCGGGUCUUGUACACACCGC
rnacentral:rRNA from 1 species